UCCCAUUCUCCUCUCCCUCUUGUUUUGCAGGGUAGAACCUUGGGUUACCGACAGGUGCUGGGUUUUCACUCUGAUUCAGUUCUCUGCUCGCUGUGAGCUUUUUCCUGUGAACCCUGGACUUCGAAGUGCAGGUCUCCAAUGCUGCCUUUCCGUCUCCGCUCCUGGGUUGGCGUCUGUGGCACCUUUGUCAAGUGGAAAUUCCCAACACAGGCAUCAUUAAUCCACGGUUUCUUUUGCUUUCAACAUUUGAACUUUGGAGGUGUGUAAGAGCAUGCCCUCGACGUCGGCUCUGGGGUGCCAUGGGGUCCUUUGUGCAGACCGACUUCACAGACGACGCUUGGGGUUUGGGAAGUAAGGAGGCCGCAGGGCCCUGCUCAGACUCUCGGGGGCGGGUGGAGCGCCGAGUGGACCUCAGAGCUGCCGAACACUCGCUCCGGGGAGUCUGUGCUCAGAGGAGAAAGGGGUGGCCCCGAGAGCCUGGUAUUCCCACUGCGACGGACAGAGUCAGAGCCGGUGCCAGGAAGGCGGCGUGAACGUGCAGGGCGCCAUCCCAGAAGAAGGCAGCUCAGAAGAUGUUCACCUCAGGGGCUUAUAGGAGGCCCUGGUCCGGGUGCCAAGAGAGUUUUUAAGAAUAGGGAGACCUUUUUGCUUGUCUCACGGUUCUAGGGAAAUGCACUUGGGGACCUCGUAAGAGGGGGGUCCUGGUGGGUGCUGCAGACUUCCAGCGGAGGCCCUUGGUGUGCGUCUGAAGAAGGGGACACUGCAGACGAGCGUGAAAUCGGCCUUGAUGGACAAAGGCCUCGGCCCCUGCUCCAUCUGCCUGACCCAGGAGUAAGCCCUGGGAAGCAGAAUCACUACCUACCAGUGCCAAAAACUGGGGUCAAAAGGCUGAGACGAAUAAAAGCUGCAGACCACAGUAAACUAGAACUGAGCUGUCAGACACGGGCUCCAAAGCAGCAGUGAUUCGUGUGCCUGAGAAAAUCAUGAAAAAAAUAGAGAUUCACUCAGGGCCGACAGCUUUCUUCAAAAGACAGAUUCCAGCUGACAUUCUGGAAGUGGAAAAAUAGGAUCACUGAAAUAAAUAAUUCAGUAGGCUUAGCAGUAAGUCAGACACAGCAGAGAAUAGGAGAAAUGGAUUGGAAGAAAGCUCAGAGAAAAUAUUCAGAUUGAAAGAAGAGAAAAAUGAUGAGAAACACAGACCUGCAUAGUAAAAAAAAAAAAAGAGUUCACAACCUGUAACUUGGGUGACCAAGGAGAGCUGAGAGAGAAGUGAGCAGAAGCAAGAUUUAAAGAACUGUUGACUGAAAUCUGCGAACCUUAAUCAGAAUGCACACAAGAAAAUCACACUGGAGUCCAUCACAGUGAAACUGACGAAAACGAAAGACCAGGAAUGUGUGUGUGUGUACAAAUAAAGACAAGACCAAGCAGAGAAGAAGAGAUGUAUUGUAAGGAGAACUUACAACCAUCAGCACGGACUCUGUGGUGGGAUGGUAGCAGUCAGAGACAAGGAGCAGGAGAUUUAGAGUCCUCAGGGGAGAACGAUGCCAUUAUAAACACCAAUACCCAUAAAAAAGUUCUCGAGAAAUAAGGGUAAAACAAAGACAUUUCCGGUCACACAGAAACAGGCUUUGCGGCCAGCAGACCUGAAUUGAAAGAAGCACUGAAGAGCGCUUUCCAGGCAGGCACAAAGUGACCCAGAUGUAAACGCAAUUCAGAGAACCAGAAAGGUCACACGCGGCCAUCCUGUGGCCCAGUGUCCUGAACAGCGAUGUUGGGAAGCACUGAGAGCCUGAUGCCAUGCCUGACACCAGUGUCCCUAGACCUGUGAUGACGUUAGAACACAAACGGAAGAGGAAGGCCCUCGGUCGGCCAGCGUCACGCGGGCCAGGGGUCCUCCGGCAGCACGGGCACGCUCUUCAGGAUGUGAGAGUCGAGGCCCAUCUAAGCCCAAACGUAUCAGCAGGUGCGCUAGCUUAAAUGAAUCUUCUAGGUGAAGUUAUGGAUUUUCCAAUCAGAAAACUUAAAAUACAACGGUGUGUUGCCUACAAAAGACACACGUUGAAUAUAAAGAUGCGAAAGCAUCAUAAAGUCAAAAUUAGGUAUCCAGCCAACACGGCCUGGAAGAAAAUCGGUGUAAGUAUAUCCAUGUCCAAGUGGCUCCAAAGGCAAGAGGUCUCCAUUCCUGGAGAGGAAAGGUCAACCCAACCGGAGGGCACAGCGACCUUAACCCAUGAGCACCGAACGGCAGAGCUUAAAAUGCAUGACUAAGAGCGGAUUCAUCCAGAAGGAGGAAUGAGCAAGCCCACAGUUCCGUUUCUAGACUUUUGCUCGUUUUUCAGUAACGAGUAGAAUAAGCAGACCAAUGAGAACCUAAGGGUUUCGAGCCUCUCAAGAGAAGUCCGACUUGAUCUGCCUAAAGGCACCCGAGCCCUGGAGAUCACGCGUUGCUCUCGGUGCACGCGGAGCGUCGCCAGAGUAGAACACGGGUGGACUCGGUAGCCAGGCUCUGCUGUCAGCCGUGAGGGGAGGAAGUAGGUUCUCUGAUCACAGUGGAAUCCACCGGCUAGAGGAAAAAAAAAAAAAAAAGAAUGAAUUUUGAAUGCUCAACAUGCCCCUAAAUAAGCCACAGAUCAAAAAGAAGC